rnacentral:rRNA from 1 species
GAUGAACGCUGGCGGCGUGCCUAAUACAUGCAAGUAGAACGCUGAAGGAAGGAGCUUGCUCUUUCCGGAUGAGUUGCGAACGGGUGAGUAACGCGUAGGUAACCUGCCUGGUAGCGGGGGAUAACUAUUGGAAACGAUAGCUAAUACCGCAUAACAGUAGAUGUUGCAUGAUAUCUACUUAAAAGGUGCAAUUGCACCACUACCAGAUGGACCUGCGUUGUAUUAGCUAGUUGGUGAGGUAACGGCUCACCAAGGCGACGAUACAUAGCCGACCUGAGAGGGUGAUCGGCCACCCUGGGACUGAGACACGGCCCAGACUCCUACGGGAGGCAGCAGGAGGGAAUCUUCGGCAAUGGGCGGAAGUCUGACCGAGCAACGCCGCGUGAGUGAAGAAGGUUGUCGGAUCGUAAAGCUCUGUUGUAAGAGAAGAACGAGUGUGAGAGUGGAAAGUUCACACUGUGACGGUAUCUUACCAGAAAGGGACGGCUAACUACGUG